GACGAACGCUGGCGGCGUGCUUAACACAUGCAAGUCGAACGGUGAAGCGCCUUCCUUUUUGGUGGGUGUGGAUGAGUGGCGAACGGGUGAGUAACACGUGAGUAACCUGCCCCCUUCUUCUGGAUAACCGCAUGAAAGUGUGGCUAAUACGGGAUAUUCUGGGUCUGUCGCAUGAUGGGUCUGGGAAAGAUAUUGUUUCGGUGGGGGAUGGGCUCGCGGCCUAUCAGCUUGUUGGUGGGGUGAUGGCCUACCAAGGCGGUGACGGGUAGCCGGCCUGAGAGGGUGGACGGUCACACUGGGACGGAGACACGGCCCAGACUCCGACGGGAGGCAGCAGUGGGGAAUAGUGCACAAUGGGCGCAAGCCUGAUGCAGCGACGCCGCGUGAGGGAUGGAGGCCUGCGGGUUGUGAACCUCUUUCGCCAGUGAAGCAGGCCUGCCUCGUUUGUGGGUGGGUUGACGGUAGCUGGAGAAGAAGCGCCGGCUAACUACGUG
rnacentral:rRNA from 1 species